rnacentral:rRNA from 1 species
GAUGAACGCUGGCGGCGUGCUUAACACAUGCAAGUCGAACGGAAAGGCUCCUGCUUGCAGGGGUACUCGAGUGGCGAACGGGUGAGUAACACGUGGGUGAUCUGCCCUGCACUUCGGGAUAACCCUGGGAAACUGGGUCUAAUACCGGAUAGGACGACGGUUUGCAUGCCAUUGUGGGAAGUUUUUCGGCGUGGGAUGAUCUCGCGGCCUAUCAGCUUGUUGGUGGGGUAGUGGCCUACCAAGGCGUCGACGGGUAGCCGGCCUGAGAGGGUGAACGGCCACAUUGGGACUGAGAUACGGCCCAGACUCCUACGGGAGGCAGCAGUGGGGAAUAUUGCACAAUGGGCGGAAGCCUGAUGCAGCGACGCCGCGUGGGGGAUGACGGCCUUCGGGUUGUAAACUCCUUUCGCUAGGGACGAAGCGCGAGUGACGGUAACUGGAGAAGAAGCACCGGCUAACUACGUG